rnacentral:rRNA from 1 species
GUUUUGUUCUGAAGCAAAGAUAUCCGCGGAGGCCGGUUCGUUCGUCCUAUUUUGAUAUUCAGGACCAAGAGGUACUGGAUUCUCUUUCGGAUAGGCCCUGAAAGGAGAAGAAAGGCUGAAAUGCCAACGGACCUCUGUCUAUUCUCUAAUUCACCCAAUCCGAUAGUACCCGUUUUUGGAACGUCCAGUGCCAAAGUCACUGAAUGGGUAAGUCACCAAUCCAAUCCCUUUGACAAAUCGGAUGUCAUAUUAGAUAUCAUAUUCUAUAUAUAUAGAAAUAUCAUAGAUAGAAUAGACAUAUAG